rnacentral:rRNA from 1 species
UACGUAGGGAGCAAGCGUUAAUCGGAAUUACUGGGCGUAAAGCGUGCGCAGGCGGUUCGUUAAGUCAGCUGUGAAAGCCCCGGGCUCAACCUGGGAAUUGCGGUUGAAACUGGCGAACUAGAAUCUGGCAGAGGGGGGUGGAAUUCCACGUGUAGCAGUGAAAUGCGUAGAGAUGUGGAGGAACACCGAUGGCGAAGGCAGCCCCCUGGGCUGAGAUUGACGCUCAGGCACGAAAGCGUGGGGAGCAAACAGG